rnacentral:rRNA from 1 species
AACAAACGCUGGCGGCGUGCCUAAUACAUGCAAGUCGAACGAGGAAAGCUUUCGGGUGAGUACUAGUGGCGCACGGGUGAGGAAUACAUGGGUAAUCUGCCCUCGAGUUGGGGAUAACCAGUCGAAAGAUUGGCUAAUACCGGAUAAGACCACAGGAACUGAGGUUCUAGGGGUUAAAGGUUUUUCGCUUGAGGAUGAGCCCAUGUGGGAUUAGCUAGUUGGUGAGGUAAUGGCUCACCAAGGCGACGAUCCCUAACUGGUCUUAGAGGAUGAUCAGUCACACUGGAACUGAGACACGGUCCAGACUCCUACGGGAGGCAGCAGUAGGGAAUAUUGCACAAUGGAGGAAACUCUGAUGCAGCGACGCCGCGUGAGUGAUGAAGGCCUUCGGGUCGUAAAGCUCUGUCGUAUGGGACUAACACAAUGAAGGUACCAUGCAAGAAGGGAUCGGCUAACUCCGUGCCAGCAGCCGCCGUAACAC